GGGAAGGACGUGGAAAGUGGGGAGGGAGUGUGGACGGAGACACGUGUCCGAUUGUGCAGUGGUGUGGACGACGAUGCUUCAUGUUCUCCUGCUGUGUGACCCGAGCCAAGUUAUCUACCUCUCUGAGCCUCAAUUCUGCUUGGAAUCUGAAGAGGGGACUGGGUGGAUCAAGGUGCCCAGUGAAUGAGAAGAUGCGCUGGAAAACUCCACGCAGGAUGCACGUGUGAGGGAAACAUCUCUCUCUGCUAAUUGCUGUCAGCAUCCAUCAAGAUCACCGCGAGAGCUGCAGUCCCAGCCAGAGGGGCCUUUGGGCGGGGCUGAGCUCCAUCACCAGGAAGCCAGGGGCCCAUAAGGGGCUGCACAUGCUGAGCAUCUCCACUGGGAGGCACCAAGGAGGCACACACAGCAGGAGUCUGGACCAGCAACUCAUAGACUAUGUACCUUGGAGCCACCGGCCCCUGGAGAGGCCUGAGCAACCACCAGAGGGGUCUGGAAAGACUGAGCUACAACGUGUCAGAGUCCAUCAGCCCUGCUUUCUCUCCUCUAUGCCCUAAAGAUUUUGUCAAAGGAGUUCUUCUGAUCUGAAAAGAAAGAUUUGAAA
rnacentral:lncRNA from 1 species